GACGAACGCUGGCGGCGUGCUUAACACAUGCAAGUCGAGCGGAAAGGCCCUUCGGGGUACUCGAGCGGCGAACGGGUGAGUAACACGUGAGUAACCUGCCCCAGACUUUGGGAUAACCCUCGGAAACGGGGGCUAAUACCGGAUACGACACAGCUUCGCAUGGGGUCUGUGUGGAAAGUUUUUCGGUUUGGGAUGGGCUCGCGGCCUAUCAGCUUGUUGGUGGGGUGAUGGCCUACCAAGGCGACGACGGGUAGCCGGCCUGAGAGGGCGACCGGCCACACUGGGACUGAGACACGGCCCAGACUCCUACGGGAGGCAGCAGUGGGGAAUAUUGCACAAUGGGCGGAAGCCUGAUGCAGCGACGCCGCGUGAGGGAUAACGGCCUUCGGGUUGUAAACCUCUUUCAGCAGGGACGAAGCGUAAGUGACGGUACCUGCAGAAGAAGCGCCGGCCAACUACGUG
rnacentral:rRNA from 1 species